UACGAAGGGGGCUAGCGUUGUUCGGAUUUACUGGGCGUAAAGCGCACGUAGGCGGAUUGUUAAGUCAGGGGUGAAAUCCUGGAGCUCAACUCCAGAACUGCCUUUGAUACUGGCAAUCUUGAGUCCGGAAGAGGUGAGUGGAACUCCUAGUGUAGAGGUGGAAUUCGUAGAUAUUAGGAAGAACACCAGUGGCGAAGGCGGCUCACUGGUCCGGUACUGACGCUGAGGUGCGAAAGCGUGGGGAGCAAAUGGG
rnacentral:rRNA from 1 species